ACCCGCUGAACUAAGCAUAUCAUAGCGAGAAGAACUACAGAUCCUAGUACUGC
rnacentral:rRNA from 1 species